UUAGCUACCUUUUUCUUUCUAUUUUCUAGUAUCAAUUUUGUCAUCACUAUCCCCAUUUUGUGUCUUCUUAUGAAGAAGUAGCAUUCAUUUGACUUCCCACAUACCAAAGCAACAAAAAAAUUUCCAAGAUUUUCCUCAUUCCGCUGAACGGGCAUAUAUAUAUGUAUAAACAUAUAUAGUGAUUACAAUAGGUGUGACAUGAAUCUGCAGUUUGACACACUUGAAUUGGAAUUUAAUUUGUUGGUUAUUUGAAGGGAGCUUCCUUCAGCCCAGUCACGGAGAUGCGAAGAGGGUUGAAUUUGCUGCCGAUUCAUUGACGCAAACAUAGUAGACAAGAAAUGUUGCUACUAUGAAUGUGUGAAUGAGGCGGGAGUCAAAUUUCACCCAAUUCUUUUCCAUUAUUGGACUGAAGGGAGCUCCCUGUAAUUACUACUAGUACUACUUUAAUUUUCUUCAUUCACUUUAAAAUUAUUACUUCCCUCAUUUCAUCUCUAUAUAUUCAAGGUAUCUCAAUGCAUAUGAUGUGGAUCAAUUGUAUUAUUAAUCAUGUAUAUUAAUUUUCAUUCUUCAUUUUUAUGUAAAAAAGGGUUUUCAGUGCCCAUUUGGUUUGCUACUCUUUUCUUGAAUGUUGAAGUUGCCUUACCCAUAAUUAAUGAAACGCCAAUAGUUUAUGACAUUUUGAUUAA